rnacentral:tRNA from 1 species
UUAGCUAUAGUAUAAAAAGUGCAGGUUACUUACAAUAACCAGGUGAUUGUUCCUAGCUAAA